UGGGGAAUAUUGCACAAUGGGCGCAAGCCUGAUGCAGCCAUGCCGCGUGUAUGAAGAAGGCCUUCGGGUUGUAAAGUACUUUCAGUCGGGAGGAAGGUGUCAAGGUUAAUAACCUUGGCAAUUGACGUUACCGACAGAAGAAGCACCGGCUAACUCCGUGCCAGCAGCCGCGGUAAUACGGAGGGUGCAAGCGUUAAUCGGAAUUACUGGGCGUAAAGCGCCCGCAGGCGGUUGAUUGAGUCAGAUGUGAAAUCCCCGGGCUUAACCAGGGAAUUGCAUCUGAUACUGGUCAGCUAAGGUCUUGUAGAGGGGGGUAGAAUUCCAUGUGUAGCGGUGAAAUGCGUAGAAGUGUGGAGGGAUACCGGUGGCGAAGGCGGCCCCCUGGACAAAGACUGACGCUCAGGUGCGAAAGCGUGGGGAGCAAACAGG
rnacentral:rRNA from 1 species